rnacentral:rRNA from 1 species
ACGGAAGGCAGCAGUGGGGAAUAUUGCACAAUGGGGGAAACCCUGAUGCAGCAACGCCGCGUGAAGGAUGAAGGUUUUCGGAUCGUAAACUUAUGUCUUCAGGGACGAAAUUUGACGGUACCUGAGGAGGAAGCCACGGCUAACUCCGUGCCAGCAGCCGCGGUAAUACGGGGGUGGCGAGCGUUAUCCGGAUUUACUGGGUGUAAAGGGCGCGUAGGCGGGUCUUUAAGUCUGAUGUGAAAUCCCGCGGCUUAACUGCGGAACUGCAUUGGAAACUGGAGAUCUUGAGUGCUGGAGAGGAAAGCGGAAUUCCUAGUGUAGCGGUGAAAUGCGUAGAUAUUAGGAGGAACACCAGUGGCGAAGGCGGCUUUCUGGACAGUAACUGACGCUGAGGCGCGAAAGCGUGGGGAGCAAACAGGAUUAGAUACCCUGGUA